rnacentral:rRNA from 1 species
CUAGCAAUAGUGAAACUUGCACAGGUGCUGCAUGGCUGUCGUCAGCUCGUGUCGUGAGACGUCGGGUUAAGUCCCUUAACGAGCGAAACCCCUGUCGUUAGUUGCCAUCAUUUAGUUGGGUACUCUAACGAGACUGCCUAAGUUAAUAUGGAGGAAGGCGGGGACGACGUCAAGUCAUCAAGGCCCUUACGGCCAGGGCUACACACGUGCUACAAUGGUCGGUACAAAGGGUUGCUACACAGCGAUGUGAUGCUAAUCUCAAAAAGCCGAUCGUAGUCCGGAUUGGAGUCUGCAACUCGACUCCAUGAAGUCGGAAUCGCUAGUAAU